UUGACCAUCACUUUUUCUCUCAUAAAUCACACAUACACACACUAGAAGAAAGAAAGAACCGGCAGAGAAGAAGAAAAGGGAAAGAAAAGAGGGAAGAAAAAGAAGAAGAAAAAGGAAAAAAGGAAGAAGAAAAAGAAAGGAAAGAGAUUUUUGAGAGGAAUCCUACUUGGAGUUCAGGUUAUUGAUUCUUGAAUUUCUAUCUACACUAAGGUGGUGACGAGGAAAUUGGAAACGUUUAUCAGGCAAUCUAGCUUGUAGCUCCUACCUUGAGACCGUUGAUUUUUGAGAUACUUGGAAAAGCCUGCUGAAGCGAAAGAGACCGUUUCAUAGUAUGUAAUGAAUAGUUGGGGGACUCAUGUUUGUUAAGUAUUUUGUCUAAUAUUUGGGGUGUCAUGCACUUUGUAGAAGGGUUUGUAAUUGAUGUAAUGCUUGCACGUAGACAUGAUGUUGUUGCAGAAGUACUCAGUCGAAAUUUGUUAUAUUUGUUUUAGUUGUGGUGGUAUUAGUGGAAGUGGUGGUUUCCAAAACUUUUGGUUUGAAUGUCUAUUCGAGGUCUUGAUGAUUUUUCA